AGCGAACGCUGGCGGCAGGCCUAACACAUGCAAGUCGAACGGACCCUUCGGGGUUAGUGGCGGACGGGUGAGUAACACGUGGGAACGUGCCUUUAGGUUCGGAAUAGCUCCCGGAAACGGGUGGUAAUGCCGAAUGUGCCCUUCGGGGGAAAGAUUUAUCGCCUUUAGAGCGGCCCGCGUCUGAUUAGCUAGUUGGUGAGGUAACGGCUCACCAAAGCGACGAUCAGUAGCUGGUCUGAGAGGAUGACCAGCCACACUGGGACUGAGACACGGCCCAGACUCCUACGGGAGGCAGCAGUGGGGAAUCUUGCGCAAUGGGCGAAAGCCUGACGCAGCCAUGCCGCGUGAAUGAUGAAGGUCUUAGGAUUGUAAAAUUCUUUCACCGGGGACGAUAAUGACGGUACCCGGAGAAGAAGCCCCGGCUAACUUCGUGCCAGCCGCCGCCGUAA
rnacentral:rRNA from 1 species